UGUUAGAUUGAUUCUAUCUAAUUAAAUUAAUUAUUUUUUAUAUAAUAUUAUAUACUAGUUUUAGCUUGUUGGAAUUUAUAUCUUAAUGAUUUAGAUUAUUUAUUAGUUGUAGUUGUUAAUUUUAUUUUUCAUAGGAAUAUGGAAAUAGUUAUUUUUAAGAGAAGUGUUUAAUUUUGUGCCAGCAGAUGCGGUUAUACAAUUGCUUCAAGUUAAUUUUUUUGGUUAAUAUUUAUUUUUAUUAUUGAGAUAUUAUUUAUUAUUUUUAGGUGAAAUUUUGAUAAUAAUUUUUCUUUGGUUUAAGAUUUUAAUAUGAAAAUUAAAUUAAAAACUAGGAUUAGAUACCCUAUUAUUUUAAUUGUAAAUUUUAUUUCCAUAGUAGUAUUAGUUAAGAUCUUGAAAUUAAAAGAAUUUGGCGGUAAUUUAGUCUUUUCAGAGGAACCUGUUCUUUAAUUGAUAAUCCACGUUGGAUUUUACCUUAAUUAUUUGUUUGUAUAUCUCUGUCAUUGAAUGUUUUAUUAGAAUAUUUUCUUUAAUUAUUGAUUUAGAAAAUGUCAGGUCAAGGUGCAGCUAUAUUAGGGGUUGUAAUGGGUUACAUUUAAUGUUAUUUAUUGGAUUUUAAUCUUGGAUAAGAUUAAUAAAAUAGGAUUUGAGAGUAAUUUUUUUUAUUUUUUAAAAAUGAUUUUAGCUCUAAAUUAUGCACACAUCGCCCGUCACUUUCAUUAUUAAGAUGAAAUAAGUCGUAACAAAGUAAUUUUACUGGAAAGUGAGGUUAGAAAUAU
rnacentral:ncRNA from 1 species